GACGAACGCUGGCGGCGUGCUUAACACAUGCAAGUCGAACGGAAAGGCCCUGCUUUUGUGGGGUGCUCGAGUGGCGAACGGGUGAGUAACACGUGAGUAACCUGCCCCUGACUUUGGGAUAACUUCAGGAAACUGGGGCUAAUACCGGAUAGGAGCUCCUGCUGCACGGUGGGGGUUGGAAAGUUUCGGCGGUUGGAGAUGGACUCGCGGCUUAUCAGCUUGUUGGUGGGGUAGUGGCUUACCAAGGCUUUGACGGGUAGCCGGCCUGGGAGGGUGACCGGCCACAUUGGGACUGAGAGACGGCCCAGACUCCUACGGGCGGCAGCAGGGGGGAAUAUUGCGCAAUGGGCGGAAGCCUGAUGCAGCAACGCCGCGUGCGGGAUGACGGCCUUCGGGUUGUAAACCGCUUUGGCCUGUGACGAAGCGUGAGUGACGGUAAUGGGUAAAGAAGCACCGGCUAACUACGUG
rnacentral:rRNA from 1 species